GGGUUGUGAGGUUAAGCGACUAAGCGUACACGGUGGAUGCCCUGGCAGUCAGAGGCGAUGAAGGACGUGCUAAUCUGCGAAAAGCGCCGGCGAGGUGAUAUGAACCCUUGACCCGGCGAUGUCCGAAUGGGGAAACCCAGUGUGUUCCGACACACUAUCGUUAACUGAAUACAUAGGUUAACGAGGCGAACCGGGGGAACUGAAACAUCUAAGUACCCCGAGGAAAAGAAAUCAACCGAGAUUCCCCCAGUAGCGGCGAGCGAACGGGGAGCAGCCCGGAGUCUGAAUCAGCUUGUGUGUUAGUGGAACGGUCUGGAAAGUCCGACGGUACAGGGUGAUAGUCCCGUACACGAAAAUGCACAGGUUGUGAACUCGAAGAGUAGGGCGGGACACGUGGUAUCCUGUCUGAAUAUGGGGGGACCAUCCUCCAAGGCUAAAUACUCCUGACUGACCGAUAGUGAACCAGUACCGUGAGGGAAAGGCGAAAAGAACCCCGGCGAGGGGAGUGAAAAAGAACCUGAAACCGUGUACGUACAAGCAGUGGGAGCACCUUCGGG
rnacentral:rRNA from 1 species